rnacentral:misc_RNA from 1 species
UUAACUCAAGUAUGAAGUUCCAAUCAUAAUCACAUCCUAAUGAUUAACUGAGAAUUUUAAAUGUAAAUAUAUGUGUGGUUUAGGUCUCUAACAUGGAGAAAUUACCCUUUAUCGAUGCAUAAAUGGAAUGUGCCUUUCUCUGCUCCCUAAUUUUCUGGGACAGUUAUUAUCUAAUAUUAUUGUGAAUAUUCAUUAAAAGGUUAGUAGCUGGAUGGAUUGAAGGUAAAAAAUGAGAAGACGAGAAGGAAUCUAAAAAUCUUACUCUUACUAUGUUUGACAUAUUCUGUUAUUUGGAAUUUCAGGGACG